rnacentral:rRNA from 3 species
UACGUAGGUGGCAAGCGUUGUCCGGAAUUACUGGGUGUAAAGGGAGCGUAGGCGGGCAGGCAAGUCAGGCGUGAAAUAUAUCGGCUCAACCGGUAACGGCGCUUGAAACUGCAGGUCUUGAGUGAAGUAGAGGUUGGCGGAAUUCCUAGUGUAGCGGUGAAAUGCGUAGAUAUUAGGAGGAACACCAGUGGCGAAGGCGGCCAACUGGGCUUUUACUGACGCUGAGGCUCGAAAGUGUGGGGAGCAAACAGG